GUAGUAUUCCCUCCGUCCCAUAAUUCUUGUCUUACAUUUGUUUAGAUACGGAUGUAUCUAACACUAAAAUGUAACUAGAUACAUCCGUAUUUAGACAAAUUUAAGACAAGAAUUUUGGGAUGGAGGGAGUACAAA
rnacentral:pre_miRNA from 1 species